rnacentral:rRNA from 1 species
AUUGAACGCUGGCGGCAGGCCUAACACAUGCAAGUCGAGCGGAUGAAGGGAGCUUGCUCCUGGAUUCAGCGGCGGACGGGUGAGUAAUGCCUAGGAAUCUGCCUGGUAGUGGGGGAUAACGUCCGGAAACGGGCGCUAAUACCGCAUACGUCCUGAGGGAGAAAGUGGGGGUUCUUCGGACCUCACGCUAUCAGAUGAGCCUAGGUCGGAUUAGCUAGUUGGUGGGGUAAAGGCCUACCAAGGCGACGAUCCGUAACUGGUCUGAGAGGAUGAUCAGUCACACUGGAACUGAGACACGGUCCAGACUCCUAAGGGAGGCAGCAGUGGGGAAUAUUGGACAAUGGGCGAAAGCCUGAUCCAGCCAUGCCGCGUGUGUGAAGAAGGUCUUCGGAUUGUAAAGCACUUUAAGUUGGGAGGAAGGGCAGUAAGUUAAUACCUUGCUGUUCUGACGGUACCAACAGAAUAAGCACCGGCUAACUUCGUG